rnacentral:rRNA from 1 species
GACGAACGCUGGCGGCGUGCUUAACACAUGCAAGUCGAACGGUAAGGCCCUUCGGGGUACACGAGUGGCGAACGGGUGAGUAACACGUGGUGAUCUGCCCUGCACUUCGGGAUAAGCCUGGGAAACUGGGUCUAAUACCGGAUAGGACCAUGGACUUCACGGUUUGUGGUGGAAAGCUUUUGCGGUGUGGGAUGGGCCCGCGGCCUAUCAGCUUGUUGGUGGGGUAAUGGCCUACCAAGGCGACGACGGGUAGCCGGCCUGAGAGGGUGUCCGGCCACACUGGGACUGAGAUACGGCCCAGACUCCUACGGGAGGCAGCAGUGGGGAAUAUUGCACAAUGGGCGCAAGCCUGAUGCAGCGACGCCGCGUGAGGGAUGACGGCCUCGGGUUGUAAA